GCCAGGUGCGGUGACACGUGUCUGUAUUCCCAGCUACUCCGGAGGCUGAGGCUGGAGGAUCUCUUGAGCCCACGAGUUCUGGGCUGUAGUGCACUAUGCCGAUCAGGUGUCCACACUAAGUUCGGCAUCAAUAUGGUGACCUCCCAGGAGCGCAGGACAACCGGGUUGCCUAAGGAGGGGUGAACCAGCCCAGGUCAGAACUCCCGUGCUGAUCAGUAGUGGGAUUGCGCCUGUGAAUAGCCACUACUCCAGCCUGGGCAAUAUAGUGAGACCCCGUCUCUU
ensembl:misc_RNA Metazoa_SRP Metazoan signal recognition particle RNA